CAAAAGCUGCUUAGUAUUAAUGUAAAUUAUAAUACGGAAACAGGGGCCUAGAGAUCCUCUAUGAAACUAAGCAUAGAGGUGACGAAAAAGUAUCCACAGGAUAACUGGCUUGUGGCGGCCGAGCGUCCAUAGCGACGCCGCUUUUUGAAUCUUCGAUGUCGGCUUUUCCGAGCAUGGUGGAGUAUCAGCCACCAAGUGUGUGAUUGUUCACCAACUAACAGGGAACGUGAGCUGGGUUUAGACCGUCGCGAGACAGGUUAGUUUUACCCUACUGCAUCGCGUCCGAGAGUAGGUCGGGGCAGUACGAGAGGAAGUGCCGAUCAGAACCGCUGGUGAUACUUUCGUCUGUUAAGGCGCGAAGUGUAGCUACGUUCUUCUUAUAAUAGCUGAAAGCCUCUAAGCUAGAAUGAGUACUUAAGGACGCAAAGAUAUGAAGACUACAUAUGUAAGGAUGAGGGUUGUACGAUAUAAGCUUCUGCGAGUAUUUCAGACCACUUAUUUCCUUUUUUAGAACAUGCUUGCUC
rnacentral:ncRNA from 1 species